rnacentral:rRNA from 1 species
GACGAACGCUGGCGGCGCGCCUAACACAUGCAAGUCGAACGAGCGAGAGAGAGCUUGCUUUCUCGAGCGAGUGGCGAACGGGUGAGUAACGCGUGAGGAACCUGCCUCAAAGAGGGGGACAACAGUUGGAAACGACUGCUAAUACCGCAUAAGCCCACGGUGCCGCAUGGCACAGAGGGAAAAGGAGCAAUCCGCUUUGAGAUGGCCUCGCGUCCGAUUAGCUAGUUGGUGAGGUAAUGGCCCACCAAGGCGACGAUCGGUAGCCGGACUGAGAGGUUGAACGGCCACAUUGGGACUGAGACACGGCCCAGACUCCUACGGGAGGCAGCAGUGGGGAAUAUUGCACAAUGGGGGAAACCCUGAUGCAGCGACGCCGCGUGGAGGAAAAAGGUCUUCGGAUUGUAAACUCCUGUUGUUGGGGAAGAUAAUGACGGUACCCAACAAGGAAGUGACGGCUAACUACGUG